AGCGGCCGCGGUAAUUCCAGCUUCAAUAGCGUAUAUUAAAGUUGCUGCAGUUAAAAAGCUCGUAGUUGAAUUUCGGGACUAAUAUGUCGGUCGUGCCUCGGUACGUACUGGCUUAUUGGUUUCUCCUUUCUGAAGAACCAUGAUGUCAUUUAUUUGGUGUCGUGGGGAAUCAGGACUGUUACUUUGAAAAAAUUAGAGUGUUUAAAGCAGGCUCACGCUUGAAUACAUUAGCAUGGAAUAAUGAAAUAGGACGUUUGAUUCUAUUUUGUUGGUUUCUAGGAUCGACGUAAUGAUUAAUAGGGAUAGUUGGGGGCAUUAGUAUUCAAUUGUCAGAGGUGAAAUUCUUGGAUUUAUUGAAGACUAACUACUGCGAAAGCAUUUGCCAAGGAUGUUUUCAUUAAUCAAGAACGAAAGUUAGGGGAUCGAAGACGAUCAGACACCGUCGUAGUC
rnacentral:rRNA from 1 species